CCUACGGGAGGCAGCAGUGAGGAAUAUUGGUCAAUGGCCGGAAGGCUGAACCAGCCAUGCCGCGUGAAGGUCAGUGCCCUAUGGGCGUUAAACUUCUUUUGUGCGGGAGCAAUAAUGGUCACGUGUGGCCAGACGAGAGUACCGUACGAAUAAGCAUCGGCUAACUCCGUGCAAGCAGCCGCGGGAAUACGGGGGGUGCAAGCGUUCUCCGGAUUUAUUGGGUUUAAAGGGUGCGUAGGGUGUGUGGUAAGUCAGCGGUGCAAUGCCCCCGCUCAACGGGGUGAAGUGCCAUUGAUACUGCCGGGCUGGAAGGCGGAUGCCGUGGGAGGAAUGUGUGGUGUAGCGGUGAAAUGCAUAGAUAUCACACAGAACACCGAUUGCGAAGGCAUCUCACGAAUCCGCGAUUGACGCUGAUGCACGAAAGCGUGGGUAUCAAACAGGAUUAGAUACCCCAGUAGUC
rnacentral:rRNA from 1 species